rnacentral:rRNA from 1 species
AAGUAGUAAAUUAUAUUUAAACUUAUUUAUUUUGACGGUAUUUCAUCUUAUUAAAGGAACCUGUUAUAUAAUUGAUAACACACAUUAAAUUUCACUUUAACAUAAAAUUUAUAUACCGCCGUCUAAAGAAUUAAUUUAUAAAUAUUAUUCACAAUACAAAAUAAAAAGUUAGGUCAAGGUGUAAUCUAUAUUAAAGAAUUAAAUGGGUUACAUUAAAAACUAUUUAAGGAUUUUAAAACAACUAAAAAAUGAAAGAGGAUUUAAUAUAAAUAUAUAUUAAUAAUAAUUAUAUAUGAAAAAGAAAACAAAUAUGC